GACGAACGCUGGCGGCGUGCUUAACACAUGCAAGUCGAACGGAAAGGCCCUGCUUUUGUGGGGUGCUCGAGUGGCGAACGGGUGAGUAACACGUGAGUAACCUGCCCUUGACUUUGGGAUAACUUCAGGAAACUGGGGCUAAUACCGGAUAGGAGCUCCUGCUGCAUUGUGGGGGUUGGAAAGUGUCGGCGGUUGGGGAUGGACUCGCGGCUUAUCAGCUUGUUGGUGGGGUAGUGGCUUACCAAGGCUUUGACGGGUAGCCGGCCUGAGAGGGUGACCGGCCACAUUGGGACUGAGAUACGGCCCAGACUCCUACGGGAGGCAGCAGUGGGGAAUAUUGCACAAUGGGCGGAAGCCUGAUGCAGCAACGCCGCGUGCGGGAUGACGGCCUUCGGGUUGUAAACCGCUUUCGCCUGUGACGAAGCGUGAGUGACGGUAAUGGGUAAAGAAGCACCGGCUAACUACGUG
rnacentral:rRNA from 1 species